AUUGAACGCUGGCGGCAGGCCUAACACAUGCAAGUCGAACGAGUGGCGGACGGGUGAGUAAUGUCUGGGAAACUGCCCGAUGGAGGGGGAUCACUACUGGAAACGGUAGCUAAUACCGCAUACCAUCGGAUGUGCCCCGAUGGGAUUAGCUAGUAGGUGGGGUAACGGCUCACCUAGGCGACGAUCCCUAGCUGGUCUGAGAGGAUGACCAGCCACACUGGAACUGAGAGACGGUGCAGACUCAUACGGGAGGCAGCAGUGGGGAAUAUGGCACAAUGGGCGCAAACCUGAUGCAGCCAUGCCGCGUGUAUGAAGAAGGCCUUCGGGAUAUAAAGUACUUGCAGCGAGGAGGCGUUACGCGCAGAAGAAGCACCGGCUAACUCCGAGCCAGCGGCCGCGGUAAUAC
rnacentral:rRNA from 1 species